UGAUGUUUCUCAAAUGAAACUGGGUGCUA
rnacentral:piRNA from 1 species